GUGUGUCUGGUCCAAUGGUAAGGCGCCUGGAAUUCAGGCCGGGAGAUGGGAGUUCGAUUCUCGCGGCACACA